UACGAAGGGGGCUAGCGUUGUUCGGAUUUACUGGGCGUAAAGCGCACGUAGGCGGAUCGAUCAGUCAGGGGUGAAAUCCCAGAGCUCAACUCUGGAACUGCCUUUGAUACUGUCGAUCUGGAGUAUGGAAGAGGUGAGUGGAAUUCCGAGUGUAGAGGUGAAAUUCGUAGAUAUUCGGAGGAACACCAGUGGCGAAGGCGGCUCACUGGUCCAUUACUGACGCUGAGGCACGAAGGCCA
rnacentral:rRNA from 1 species